rnacentral:rRNA from 1 species
AUCUACCUAGUAGUAUAGGAUAGCCACUAGAAAAGGUGGGUAAUACUGUAUAAUCCCUGCGGGGGAAAGAUUUAUCGCUACUAGAUGAGCCUAUGUUAGAUUAGCUAGUUGGUGGGGUAAUGGCCUACCAAGGCAGUGAUCUAUAGCUGGUCUGAGAGGAUGAUCAGCCACACUGGAACUGAGACACGGUCCAGACUCCUACGGGAGGCAGCAGUGGGGAAUAUUGGACAAUGGGCGCAAGCCUGAUCCAGCUAUGCCGCGUGAGUGAGGAAGGCCUUAGGGUUGUAAAACUCUUUCAGUAGGGAAGAUAAUGACGGUACC